GCUUCUGUAGUUUAGUGGUUAUAAUUUUGCACUUGUACGAGAAUUUACAACUGAUGCAAGGGUCCUGAGUUCAACUCUCAGCGGAAGCA